rnacentral:lncRNA from 1 species
UAAAGUUGUGUGCUUUUGUAUGUGUUUCUUUACCUUCUCUGCGGAGAUAGGUACUCUUAUUCCUUCUUCCCAUGUUGUCCUACACCAUCCAUCUUGAAGGACAAAAUAAAUAAUCAAAAGUGCUCUAUGUUUAGCCGUGUUUAGUUGGGAGACUUUAUAUAACACUGUCAUUGUUUGUUCAAAGAUGAAACCCAAGCGACAAAAUAAAAGGUAAAGCUUGAACCUAAA